rnacentral:siRNA from 1 species
ACCUUGUCACCAUCUGCUAUCAUU